GACGUAGGGCGCGAGCGUUGUCCGGAUUUAUUGGGCGUAAAGAGCUCGUAGGCGGCUUGUCGCGUCGUCCGUGAAAACCCACAGCUCAACUGUGGGCUUGCGGUCGAUACGGGCAGGCUAGAGUUCGGUAGGGGAGACUGGAAUUCCUGGUGUAGCGGUGAAAUGCGCAGAUAUCAGGAGGAACACCGGUGGCGAAGGCGGGUCUCUGGGCCGAUAACUGACGCUGAGGAGCGAAAGCGUGGGGAGCGAACAGG
rnacentral:rRNA from 1 species